AAGCUAAACGUAGAUGGAGCACGGUGGGUGGUCACUGAACAUUUUGACGAGCACAACCACAAACUCAUAAAGAAGUUUGACCUGGUAAAAUUUCUGACCGCCCACAGAGUAUUCACCCCCCUUGAGAAGAAAUUCAUAAAGCUGCUACAUGAUUGUAACGUCGGUCCAUCAAGAAUGGUCCAGAUACUAUCACUCAUCCACAGCAAAAAAGGGACUCUGAGUAGCAUGCCCUACAUACCAGCUGACGUCACAAACCUAAAGGCAAAGUACCAUAGAGAGAGCAAGUUGGCUGACAUAGAGGCCACAAUGGCCUACUUCGAUGAGAAAGCGAAGGAAGAUCCAGAUUUCUUCUACAGGAUAAGGUUGGACGAUGAGGACUGUGUCAGGAACAUGUAUUGGGUGGAUGGUGCUGCAAGGAGAGCCUACAAACAUUUCCGAGAUUGCAUCUCAUUCGAUGCGACGUAUCUCACUAAUAUGUACAAGAUGGCAUGCGCUCCAUUCAUAGGAAUAAAUAACCACAACACGAAUGGGUACGUUUGGCUGUUCAAGACCUUCUUGGAGUGCAUGGAUGGACUUGCUCCAAUGAACAUAAUAACAAACCAGGGUUUUAGCAUGCGUGCAGGCAUAGAGAAGGUCUUUCCAUUGGCAGUGCACAGGCACUGCAGGUGGCACAUUAUAAAGAAGGUUGAGGAGACGCUAGGACCGUUCUUUGCUACUACACAAUGCAGCGAGGGGUUCAAUGCUGUUUUGAAGCAGUACGAUGGCAUUGUGUGUUGUCACAUACUAAAAGUAAUGGACAUGAACAAUGUGACACAGAUGCCUCGCCAUUUCAUAAGGCGGCGAUGGACUUGGGACGCUAACGACGCGUUGGCGCCCAGACAACAAGCGCAGCUGGCUGUGCAUGACGAGAGACCUGAGUCAACCAUGGAAGCCGUGAGGCAUGUUGUGCUGACAAAGAACUAUGUUGGGCUAAUUGAUGAAGCGUGCAAGAGUGAUGAGACAGUGAGAGUCGCAGAAAAACACAGGAAGGCCCUGAAAAGAGAGCUUGAUGAGAUCAAGAAGAGGAAAGCUGAGGAAGCCUUACACAGGUUCCCCCGCACAUCAAGUGUGCCUUCGUCCAUGGGGCCAUCAUCUGAAAACUCGAAGAUAGGAUCUGAAAUAGCAAGCACACAAACCCAGGUCAGGAACCCGCCCCAUUCCAUCACAAAGGGGCGUCCAAAAGAGAUAAGGUACAAAUCGGGAUUGGAGAUUCAAGCAAAACAUAAGAAAACAAAGAAAGGGACGGGCAAUCCGUAA
rnacentral:rRNA from 1 species